rnacentral:rRNA from 1 species
UAUGUGAUCGUCUCUCGCAUAUCAAUAAGCGGAGGAAAAGAAACUAACAAGGAUUCCCCUAGUAACGGCGAGUGAAGCGGGAAGAGCUCAAAUUUGAAAUCUUAAAGGGUUUCCCUUUACGAAUUGUAGUUUAAAGAAGUGUUUUCUGUUGAGGUUUUGGUAAAAGUUCUUUGGAAUAGGACAUCAUAGAGGGUGAGAAUCCCGUAUUUGACCUUUACUUUCAACUUUGUGAUACACUUUCAAGAGUCGGAUUGUUUGGGAAUGCAGUCCAAAAUGGGUGGUAAAUUUCAUCUAAAGCUAAAUAUUGGCGAGAGACCGAUAGCGAACAAGUACCGUGAGGGAAAGAUGAAAAGAACUUUGAAAAGAGAGUUAAACAGUACGUGAAAUUGUCAAAAGGGAAGCGUUUGACACCAGUGUUGUUUUUCUGAAAAUCAAUUAAAGAACUGUUUAUGCUAAGUUGUUUAGACUUUAUCAGCUAACUGUUUAGUUUUGAGCUUUUCUUUAAUGCACUUUUCAGUUAACAAGUCAACAUCAAUUUCUUUUGCUGUAAAAAAGCUUGAGGAAGGUGGCUUGAGAUUCGUCUUAAGUGUUUAUAGCCUCUUGCCUAUGCAGUCGGAGAGAUUGAGGUCUGCAGCGUAGAUCCUUCGGGGCUAAAUGCAUUUGUGCUAAGUUAUAACAUUUUAUAGACAACUUGUUGACUAUGAUUUGUCUUGUAGCUUACUCGCUUAUGUUAUUUUACCUACGCUUAGGAUGUUGAAGAUAUGCGCGACACG